rnacentral:rRNA from 1 species
GAUUCCCCUAGUAACUGCGAGUGAAGCGGGAAAAGCUCAAAUUUAAAAUCUGGCAGCAUUUUGUUGUCCGAGUUGUAGUCUGGAGAAGCGCUUUCUGUGCUGGACCGUGUACAAGUCUCUUGGAAUAGAGCGUCAUAGAGGGUGAGAAUCCCGUCUUUGACACGGAUUGCCAGUGCUUUGUGAUGCGCUCUCAAAGAGUCGAGUUGUUUGGGAAUGCAGCUCAAAAUGGGUGGUAAAUUCCAUCUAAAGCUAAAUAUUGGCGAGAGACCGAUAGCGAACAAGUACCGUGAGGGAAAGAUGAAAAGCACUUUGGAAAGAGAGUUAAACAGUACGUGAAAUUGCUGAAAGGGAAACGCUUGAAGUCAGUCAUGUUUGGCAGAACUCAGCCUGGCAUUUAUUUGCUUGGUGCAUUUUCUGUUGAACAGGCCAGCAUCAAUUUUGACUGUUGGAUAAAGGCCUGGGGAAUGUGGCACCUUUGGGUGUGUUAUAGCCUCGGGUUGUAUACAAUGGUUGGGAUUGAGGAAUGCAGCAUGCCUUUAUGGUUGGGAUUUAUCCACAU